CCACAGUAUACUACUGGAAAAGCUGGCAUUCCACAGCUUGGACAGAUGCCCAUCACUGGGUUAAGAGCUGGCUGGAUGACCAGGCACAGAGAAUGGUUGUGAGCAGUGCUGUAUCCAGUUGGUGGCCAGUCACUAGUGGGGGCUCCCAGGAGUUGGUACUAGGCUCAGUCCUGUUUAAUUUCUUCACUGGUGAUCCGGAUGAGGGGAUAGAGUCCACCAUCAGUAAAUUUGCAGAUGAAACCAAGCUGGGAGCAUGUGCCAAUCUGUUGGAAGAAAAUACUUCCUGGAAUGCUGAAAGAACUGCAAGAUCUCUAUAAAUUUGUUACUACCAUCGAAAAGCAGCAAAUGAAAAUCUAUAUUAAGUAUACAGUUGUUUUUUGUACCAUCUGUAUAAAAGGAUCCAUGUUGAAUGACUUGAGAACAUCUUAAAUGUUUAAGAACAAUGUGAACCACUAGGUGGGAUUCUCCUUGAAAUAAAUAAAAAAUCCCUUCUCAGAUA